rnacentral:sRNA from 1 species
UUUAAUUUUACUGAACGAACUUAGAUGGUAGGACGGGUUUAGAAUAUUAUAAUAUAUGAACUCUAUAACAAUUCAAUAACCAUUU